rnacentral:lncRNA from 7 species
ACAGCUCGCCGCCGCCGAGUAGCUGCUCUUCGUUUCUUUCCAGUUCCAGCUGAAAGCCUUCUCGCCGUACCCAGUUCUGUUCUUGUAUCUGUUGUUUCUGGUCUCUGUUUCGAUGCCAGUUUUGGUUCGGUUCUAGGCUGCUAGCUGUUGAUUCUGCUUUCUGUUUCGCUUCUGUUUACGACACCUGAACCAGUUUUUGGUACCGGUGGGGGAGCACUGUCCCAAUGGCUGGCCGCCGUUCGCCGUCGGCGGAUCCCGGUCUCGGUCACUGCGAAGCUCCCGAAAUGAGAUCCGGUGGCGCUUUAGAGCCCUCGUCCGUUCCAAUACGCAGUCGGAUGCUGGGUUACGCUCGCCUCUAAAUCUAAGCUUAUUAUUUAUGCCUUUGCUUCGUAUUCGUCAGAUCUGAUUUCGUAUUUCUGUCUCGACCGAAAUUUUGCGCGGUGCAGUGAUUAUAAAAACAUUCCUCGUACUGAUGGGUCAUCCUCGUGAACGACUCCUAUACACCCAUAGAAUCUGAGCACCCAAAACACAUCUCCAAAUUUUUUUUACUUUCGUGCUCUAUUUUGUUUGUUUGUUAUACUAUUUAGGUUUUUUAAAAGAAACUUGACUUCCGCGCUGUUUUGCAAAUCUGUAUUUUUCUUAUUUGCUUUAUAAUUUGUAUUGGAUGGUUUUGAAUUACUUGGAUUUAUCAUGACAAUACAUUGUUGUAGCACUCAAAACACUGCUAGAUUUAUCUUCUAGCCUGUGGUCAAGUCGUCACAGCGAGUGGCUCUAUCGUUCAUCUACUGCUUGCCCAGUGCCCAGUUGACACCCGUCCUUCCUGCGUUGCUAUUGUCGAUCGACGAAUUCUUCAUGAGAUCUUCUAUCUGGUCGCAAGGUGGAACUUUUGGUUCCGAUGCUACCGCAACGUCAGCAUCGCAUCAACUUUUGUAUUGACACAAUGUAUUAUUAAAACAAAUAUGUUAUUGAUAAUGUAAUGAUGAAAAUUAAAAUAUGUAAUUUAUGAAACAUAUAAUUUUACUAGUUGUAGGGGUUUUAUUAAAUCAUUUUUAGUUAAUCGUUGUCCGCAUU